rnacentral:rRNA from 1 species
AGGAUGUUGGCUUAGAAGCAGCCAUCAUUUAAAGAGUGCGUAAUAGCUCACUAGUCGAGUGACACUGCGCCGAAAAUGUACCGGGGCUAAACAUAUUACCGAAGCUGUGGAUUGUCCUUUGGACAAUGGUAGGAGAGCGUUCUAAGGGCGUCGAAGCAUGAUCGCAAGGACAUGUGGAGCGCUUAGAAGUGAGAAUGCCGGUGUGAGUAGCGAAAGACGGGUGAGAAUCCCGUCCACCGAUUGACUAAGGUUUCCAGAGGAAGGCUCGUCCGCUCUGGGUUAGUCGGGUCCUAAGCUGAGGCCGACAGGCGUAGGCGAUGGAUAACAGGUUGAUAUUCCUGUACCACCUAGUAUCGUUUUAAUCGAUGGGGGGACGCAGUAGGAUAGGCGAAGCGUGCUGUUGGAGUGCACGUCCAAGCAGUAAGGCUGAGUGUUAGGCAAAUCCGGCACUCAUAAGGCUGAGCUGUGAUGGGGAGAGGAAAUUGUUUCCUCGAGUCGUUGAUUUCACACUGCCGAGAAAAGCCUCUAGAUAGAUAACAGGUGCCCGUACCGCAAACCGACACAGGUAGUCAAGAUGAGAAUUCUAAGGUGAGCGAGCGAACUCUCGUUAAGGAACUCGGCAAAAUGACCCCGUAACUUCGGGAGAAGGGGUGCUCUUUAGGGUUCACGCCCAGAAGAGCCGCAGUGAAUAGGCCCAAGCGACUGUUUAUCAAAAACACAGGUCUCUGCUAAACCGUAAGGUGAUGUAUAGGGGCUGACGCCUGCCCGGUGCUGGAAGGUUAAGAGGAGUGGUUAGCUUCUGCGAAGCUACGAAUCGAAGCCCCAGUAAACGGCGGCCGUAACUAUAACGGUCCUAAGGUAGCGAAAUUCCUUGUCGGGUAAGUUCCGACCCGCACGAAAGGCGUAACGAUUUGGGCACUGUCUCAACGAGAGACUCGGUGAAAUCAUAGUACCUGUGAAGAUGCAGGUUACCCGCGACAGGACGGAAAGACCCCGUGGAGCUUUACUGUAGCCUGAUAUUGAAAUUCGGCACAGCUUGUACAGGAUAGGUAGGAGCCUUUGAAACGUGAGCGCUAGCUUACGUGGAGGCGUUGGUGGGAUACUACCCUAGCUGUGUUGGCUUUCUAACCCGCACCACUUAUCGUGGUGGGAGACAGUGUCAGGCGGGCAGUUUGACUGGGGCGGUCGCCUCCUAAAAGGUAACGGAGGCGCUCAAAGGUUCCCUCAGAAUGGUUGGAAAUCAUUCAUAGAGUGUAAAGGCAUAAGGGAGCUUGACUGCGAGACCUACAAGUCGAGCAGGGUCGAAAGACGGACUUAGUGAUCCGGUGGUUCCGCAUGGAAGGGCCAUCGCUCAACGGAUAAAAGCUACCCCGGGGAUAACAGGCUUAUCUCCCCCAAGAGUUCACAUCGACGGGGAGGUUUGGCACCUCGAUGUCGGCUCAUCGCAUCCUGGGGCUGUAGUCGGUCCCAAGGGUUGGGCUGUUCGCCCAUUAAAGCGGUACGCGAGCUGGGUUCAGAACGUCGUGAGACAGUUCGGUCCCUAUCCGUCGUGGGCGUAGGAAAUUUGAGAGGAGCUGUCCUUAGUACGAGAGGACCGGGAUGGACAUACCUCUGGUGUACCAGUUGUCGUGCCAACGGCAUAGCUGGGUAGCUAUGUAUGGACGGGAUAAGUGCUGAAAGCAUCUAAGCAUGAAGCCCCCCUCAAGAUGAGAUUUCCCAACUUCGGUUAUAAGAUCCCUCGAAGAUGACGAGGUUAAUAGGUUCGAGGUGGAAGCGUGGUGACACGUGGAGCUGACGAAUACUAAUCGAUCGAAGACUUAAUCAAUUUUUAAA